UGAUGACAUAUGAUUCCUUAUUGGUUCGAUUGCCGAUAUGAUGGCGGCAGAUAUGUAUUAGCUCUACCUGAUUAUCA
rnacentral:snoRNA from 1 species